UUGAGGAGUGCGUUGCUGAAUGAUCCGUGAAGGAGUAACAGCCUGUAGACGUUAACGGCCUAAAAUAACUAUAGCAGUUUGUGUCAACAAUCCACGGAUACGACAAGAUAUCGUCUUAAACUACACGUCUAAUCAAAAGUUGAAAUAUCAAGACAUUCCCCCAAAAACCAUAUGCAAGGUGCGUUAUGCAAUUAAGGUAAUAAUGCACAUAGACACAUCUCAAAAAAUACCAAAUGAUGGAAUUUAAUAAAUUAAAAUGUAUGUACAUUUUACAUUGCGUUGUUUGACAAUGCACAAUGAUCUUCUUUUCUUGAUUUUACCCAUUCUGCACUGAAGCAUAUUCAUUGCGUGACAUGGGGUUACGACAUAAAUCUCCAACA